rnacentral:rRNA from 1 species
AUUGAACGCUGGCGGCAGGCCUAACACAUGCAAGUCGAGCGGAUGACGGGAGCUUGCUCCUUGAUUCAGCGGCGGACGGGUGAGUAAUGCCUAGGAAUCUGCCUGGUAGUGGGGGACAACGUUUCGAAAGGAACGCUAAUACCGCAUACGUCCUACGGGAGAAAGCAGGGGACCUUCGGGCCUUGCGCUAUCAGAUGAGCCUAGGUCGGAUUAGCUAGUUGGUGGGGUAAUGGCUCACCAAGGCGACGAUCCGUAACUGGUCUGAGAGGAUGAGCAGGCAGACUGGAACUGAGACACGGUCCAGACUCCUACGGGAGGCAGCAGUGGGGAAUAUUGGACAAUGGGCGAAAGCCUGAUCCAGCCAUGCCGCGUGUGUGAAGAAGGUCUUCGGAUUGUAAAGCACUUUAAGUUGGGAGGAAGGGCAGUAAGCUAAUACCUUGCUGUUUUGACGUUACCGACAGAAUAAGCACCGGCUAACUCUGUGCCAGCCGCCGCAGUAACAC